rnacentral:tmRNA from 1 species
GGGGGCGACUUGGCUUCGACGGGGUCGGUGAAGCUGUGGCAGCGUGCCCAGGUCCUGAGCCCUGGUAAAUCCCUCGGGAAAAUCACAACUGCCAACAACAACCUGGCACUGGCUGCGUAACCUUCGGGUUACCGCCUGCCCAUGAAGAAGCCCGCCUGAGGCGGCUUCAUGGGUAUCGCAAUAUCGGGCUAGUCCGGCGCCGCGCCUCCCGGCGCCGGGCGAAAUCACAGGAGGCUUGUCCUGGAAUCGGCGGCCCGCCGGCCAGUUCCCGGAGACCCUGAACGACGGGAUACGCACGUAGACGCUGUGGUCGAUCCAGUCUCGGACCGGGGUUCGAAUCCCCGCGCCUCCACUC